AUUGAACGCUGGCGGCAGGCCUAACACAUGCAAGUCGAGCGAGCGGCGGACGGGUGAGUAAUGUAUGGGGACUGCCCGAUAGAGGGGGAUAACUACUGGAAACGGUGGCUAAUACCGCAUACUAUCGGAUAAACAAUAUGGGAUUAGCUAGUAGGUGGGGUAAAGGAUCCCCUAGUCGACGAUCUCUAGCUGGUCUGAGAGGAUGAUCAGCCACACUGGGACUGAGAAACGGCCCAGACUCCUACGGAGGCAGCAUUGGGGAAUUGUGCACAAGGGGCGCAAGCCUUAUGCAGCCAUGCCGCGUGUAGGAAGAAGGCCUUAGGGUUGUAAAGUACUUUCAGCUGGGAGGCGUUACCCGCAGAAGAAGCACCGGCUAACUCCGUGCCAGCAGCCGCGGUAAUUC
rnacentral:rRNA from 1 species